UAAAUAUAGUAAACUCUUUAUUUUAUUCCAGUCUGCUGUUGGCUGUGCCCCUGAUCUGCCUGCUUGGCUGACAAAAUCAGAAGUAGGAAAGCAUUUGAUUGACUGAGACUGUCAAGGAGGCAGAUCAGUUGCAGAGCCAGAAUAAGUCAAACACAGCCCUGGCCAAUCAGCACCUCCUCAUAGAGAUGCAUUGAAUUAAUGCAUCUCUAUGUGGAAAGUUCUAUGUGGAAAGUUCAGUGUCUAUAUGCAGCUGUAGUUGUUCUGGAGACUAUAGUGUCCCUUUAAAAACUAAACAAGCAAAAUGAUGCUUGAUCUCUAAGGGGUUAAGAAUCCUCAGUCAGCGGUUUGCUUAAACAGGAACAGACUUAUUAACCCCUUAACAAUGUCAUUUGUCCACAUUCUGUAUGAAAACAUAACAUCAUGAAUCAAAUCAAAGAAUAUAAACUAUAGGUUUGUUCCACAGUCAUUUUAGGGUGUCUCUUCAAGUGCCUUCAUACAUAUUAUAUAAAAAAUUUUAAAGGACAGAAAGGGCUUUCAUUUAAUAUGCUAUAUGUAUACCUAACACAACAUUAAAUGUGAAUAAAAUGUUAAAAUGGCAAUAAAGUGGGGAGGGGGAGGGGUAGGAAAGUUUUUAUUUUCACAUUUUUUCUU